UUUUUGUAGUUAAUAUAAAGUCUAAUCUGCCCACUGAUAAUUUAUUAAAGGGCUGCAGUAUUUUGACUGUACAAAGGUAGCAUAAUCAUUUGUCUCUUAAUUGGUGACUUGUAUGAAAGAUUGAAUGAAAUAUAAACUGUCUCUUUAUAAAGAAAAUAAAAUUUAAUUUUUUAGUAAAAAAGCUAAAAUAAUUUUAAAAGACGAGAAGACCCUAUAGAGUUUAAUAGUUUUUUUUAUAUAAAUAAAAUGUAAAAAUUUAAAUUUAAAUUAAAAUAAUUAUUUUAUUGGGGUGAUAGAAAAAUUAAAUUAACUUUUUUUUAAAAAUAAACAUAAAUAAGUGAUUAAAUGAUCCAUUAGUAAUGAUUAUAAGAAAAAAUUACCUUAGGGAUAACAGCGUAAUUUUUUUUUUUAGGCCAAAUAAAAAAAAGAGUUUGCGACCUCGAUGUUGGAUUAAGAUAAAAUUUAAAUGUAAAAGUUUAAAGUUUUGAUCUGUUCGACCAUUAAAA
rnacentral:rRNA from 1 species